GGACGGUCGCAGGCAAAAGAAGCUCCUGCUACACAGCACCAAAUAUGACAAAAAAACCCCCAUAUCUUUCGCCAAAAAGCUGACCGACAGCUACAGGGCCCAAAGCAGAAGGCCUGCUGGAGCCAGGGAGAGGCUGGCUUACCAAGCUGCAGUCCCCUGGAGGAGAAAACUUUGAUGUCCCAACUGGGGCCUUCUUUGGCGGUGAGUGGGGCGGACGGCCGCCGCACCACUAUCCUGCCUCACAGCGCCCAGCCUGGGGCUCGAACCUGGGCGGACCCAGCCCUGUUCCCCCCCUGUGGACCGGGGGGGUGAUCCCGGUCCUCACCCGGAGGCAUGGCAGCCGGAGCGCAGGGGCGCCGCCAUCACACUCGAGGGCCCGACCGCAUCACACAAGAUGGCGGCUUCCACGUGCGCCGAAGUCAGCAGAAGGGAACGCAUAACAGCGGAGCUCAGAACACCCAGUGAAACAAACAGGCAUGGGCCCAGGAGGCCAGAGGAGUUGGCAGCUCCACUUCAUCGCAGCUCACCAAGUGAUUUCCUACCUGUACAAGCAAAUAGCCAUGAGAAAGGCAAGCAGCAGCGGAGGCCUACCGGACCUAAAGCGGCGGAUGCACCAGUAUGCCGGGACUCCGCUCCACACUCACGACCCUGCCGCCGAGCGAAGAGGGCCACACAGUGACACGCCAGAAUAUGCAACACCCACUGUUCAUCUCGGAGAACACUCUCCUCCCGAUUCCCAACAGAGGCAAGCUCAAGUGAUGCACCUGGAGAGACAUCGCUAGAACCUCAGCCUAAAAGGACAGUAACAUCGGGUCACGCCGACAUGCUGGAAAAGGCAUUGGCCGACCAUAUGUCCACUACCACCCACAAGGCACUGGACCCACCAUGCCGACGGUUCCUGAAGUGUGUGCAGACUUACGAACUUUUGAUCAGCCAGGGUGAUAUUAUACCUGUAGAUUGCUGCCUGGCCUUGACAUGUUUAAGUUUAUAUACUGAGCCUUUUGAAUAUAGCUUACCGCAUAAAUCUUUUUAUUUUAACACACAAAAUUGCUAGCAUUAAUGGCACACCAAAAAAUGCAGACAUUGUUAACCAACCUUCACUCAUGCAUAACUUGCAACAGAAUAGUUUUAAUCCAUAGUGUUAAUUAUGUGUUCCCCCACUCUGCCUGUACUUGUAAUAUGUCUCCUGUCUUCUCGGGUGAGCAACCUGGGAGUAAUCCUGGAUAAGCAACGCCAUCACACAAAACAUAGUAUAUGACCUAGCUACUUUCACUAGCGUCGAGCUAUACUUAUUAUUAAUCCUGGUUAGCCUAAAGAAUGACCUAAAUCACUAAGCAUGCUUAUAUAUAUAUCAAAAGAUUAAAAUCUACAUAUCAUAGCUUAGUAUGACAAUCAACUGUUAUGUACAUUGAAUACCACCACUGAAUCAUUUCUUGUAUUACUAAUGUACCUAUCUUGCUCGAACCAAAAAAAAAAAA